rnacentral:rRNA from 1 species
AGACGUCUACAUUAGACUACCCGGUAGUCCCAGCCGUAAACUAUGCGCGUUAGGUGUAUCGGUGACCACGAGUUACUGAGGUGCCGAAGGGAAACCGUGAAACGUGCCGCCUGGGAAGUACGGUCGCAAGGCUAGAAACUUAAAGGAAUUGGCGGGGAGCACCACAACGGGUGGAGCCUGCGGUUUAAUUGGACUCAACGCCGGGAAGCUCACCGGAUAAGACAGCGGAAUGAUUGCCGGGCUGAAGACUCUGCAUGACUAGCUG